AGGACGAACGCUGGCGGCGUGCUUAACACAUGCAAGUCGAGCGGAAAGGCCCUUCGGGGUACUCGAGCGGCGAACGGGUGAGUAACACGUGAGUAAUCUGCCCCUAGCUCUGGGAUAGCUCCGGGAAACCGGGAUUAAUACCAGAUACGACCACUUUAGACAUCUGUUGUGGUGGAAAGAAUUUUGGCUAGGGAUGAGCUCGCGGCCUAUCAGCUUGUUGGUGAGGUAACGGCUCACCAAGGCGACGACGGGUAGCCGGCCUGAGAGGGCGACCGGCCACACUGGGACUGAGACACGGCCCAGACUCCUACGGGAGGCAGCAGUGGGGAAUAUUGCGCAAUGGGCGAAAGCCUGACGCAGCGACGCCGCGUGGGGGAUGGAAGGCCUUCGGGUUGUAAACCCCUUUCAGCAGGGACGAAGCGAAAGUGACGGUACCUGCAGAAGAAGCGCCGGCUAACUACGUGCCAGCAGCCGC
rnacentral:rRNA from 1 species